rnacentral:tRNA from 1 species
CCUUCGAUAGCUCAGUUGGUAGAGCGGUGGACUGUAGAGUUUCCAAGACCAGGUGUUUCCGAGGCAAAGUUGGCAGGACACUGGGCCAAACAAUACCACGGCUCAGGAUAUUGCUAAACUCUCGUGUCACACUUGCGCAUUCAUUUGGAUGUUGAAAUCCAUAGGUCGCUGGUUCAAAUCCGGCUCGAAGGA